UACGAAGGGGGCUAGCGUUGUUCGGAAUUACUGGGCGUAAAGGGCGCGUAGGCGGUCUGCUAAGCGUGCGGUGAAAGCCUGGGGCUCAACCCCGGAACUGCAUUGGAUACUGCCUUGCUAGAGUACUGGAGAGGGAACUGGAAUUUACGGUGUAGCAGUGAAAUGCGUAGAGAUCGUAAGGAAGGCCAGUGGCGAAGGCGAGUUCCUGGACAGUUACUGACGCUGAGGCACGAAGGCCAGGGGAGCAAACGGG
rnacentral:rRNA from 1 species